rnacentral:rRNA from 1 species
GAACUGAAGAGUUUGAUCCUGGCUCAGAUUGAACGCUGGCGGCAUGCCUAACACAUGCAAGUCGAACGGUAACAGGCAAAAGCUUGCUUUUGCGCUGACGAGUGGC